CUCCACCAGUGGACGGUGAAGAAGAGUUGACUGACGGACUUUGGGAGGUGUUAGGCUUACCUCAUGCAACACCAGGAGUAUAAAAGCUCCUCCACCUCCCACUGUGUUAGAAACCAACAAGUGAACAGGACCAGAUGUUCAGCUGCCAAGCUUACUUUCUGCCCAGUUUAAGAAAUUUUAUAUGUACAAGAACAUUCUCCCAUACUUCACAAGAGGACUUCUCCCUAGAGACCACUAGCACUUGAGAAGAAAUUAAAGCACCUGGGGAACCCUUGGAGGAAGGACCUCACAAGUCUUACGCUGCAGCACCUUUUACAACUUUGAGAUGUCAAUUCCAGAAGCUUGUGCUGAGAGAGAACAUGAUUAAAGACUCCCAGCUCCCUUACUUUCCCUAAAUUAAAUGUGGAAGGGAAGAUUAGCUCACAGAAAUUACAAUUUCUGCAUGAAUAUUUCUUAGCAAGUUCUCAAUAAAAAGCAAUUCAAACAUCA